ACUCCUACGGGAGGCAGCAGUGGGGAAUCUUAGACAAUGGGGGAAACCCUGAUCUAGCCAUGCCGCGUGAGUGACGAAGGCCCUAGGGUCGUAAAGCUCUUUCGCCGGGAAGAUAAUGACGGUACCCGGUAAAGAAGUCCCGGCUAACUCCGUGCCAGCAGCCGCGGUAAUACGGAGGGGACUAGCGUUGUUCGGAAUUACUGGGCGUAAAGCGCGCGUAGGCGGACUAUUAAGUCAGGGGUGAAAUCCCGGGGCUCAACCCCGAACUGCCCUUGAUACUGGUAGUCUUGAGUUCGAGAGAGGUGAGUGGAACUCCGAGUGUAGAGGUGAAAUUCGUAGAUAUUCGGAAGAACACCAGUGGCGAAGGCGGCUCACUGGCUCGAUACUGACGCUGAGGUGCGAAAGCGUGGGGAGCAAACAGGAUUAGAUA
rnacentral:rRNA from 1 species